rnacentral:rRNA from 1 species
ACGGCGAGCGAACCGGCAUAGCUCAAAUUUGAAAUCUGGCGAAAGCCCGAGUUGUAAUUUGUAGAGGAUGCUUUUGGCAGAGCCGCGGGUUCAAGUGCCCUGGAAUGGGUUGCCAUCAUAGAGGGUGAGAGUCCCGUAUGUCGGCCCGCGGUAGUAGACGCCAGUCAAAGCUCCUUCGACGAGUCGAGUUGUUUGGGAGUGCAGCUCUAAUUGGGAGGUAAAUUCCUUCUAAAGCUAAAUAUGGGCCAGAGACCGAUAGCGAACAAGUAGAGUGAUCGAAAGAUGAAAAGUACAGUGAAAACUGGGUGAAAUAGUACGUGAAAUUGUUGAAAGGGAAGCGCUUGCAAUCAGACAUUGCAGCAACGGGCUGAACCUUGUGUUCAUAAGUUGCUUGUGGGCUAGCAUCAGUUUGGGUGGUGGUAGAAAGGCGAGGGGAAUGUGGCUCGGGUGGGCUUGCGCCCAGAUCGAGUGUUUAUAGCUCCUCGCGCCAUGCCACCUACCUAGACUGAGGGUUUGCGCGGGGUUUCCCCGCAAGGAUGCUGGCGUAAUGGUUGUAAGCGGCCCGUCUUGAAACACGGACCAAGGAGUCUAACAUCUGCGCGAGUGUUUAGGUGUCAAGCCUAUGCGCGUAAUGAAAGUAAACGUAGGUGGGAAACCAUCGGUCCUCACGGACUGGGGUGGCACCAUCGACCGAUCCGGAUGUUUUCGGAAGGAUUUGAGUAAGAGCGCAGCUGUUGGGACCCGAAAGAUGGUGAACUAUGCCUGUGUAGGCUGAA